AGUGGGAGCACCCUAGAGGUGUGACUGCGUACCUUUUGUAUAAUGGGUCAACGACUUACAUUCAGUAGCGAGCUUAACCGAAUAGGGGAGGCGUAGGGAAACCGAGUCUUAAUAGGGCGAUGAGUUGCUGGGUGUAGACCCGAAACCGAGUGGGAGCACCCUAGAGGUGUGACUGCGUACCUUUUGUAUAAUGGGUCAACGACUUACAUUCAGUAGCGAGCUUAACCGAAUAGGGGAGGCGUAGGGA
rnacentral:rRNA from 1 species